GACGGGGGAUGCAAGUGUUAUCCGGAAUCACUGGGCGUAAAGCGUCUGCAGGUGGUUUCCUAAGUCCACUGUUAAACCUUGAGGCUCAACCUCAAAUCUGCACUGGAAACUAGGAGACUUGAGUAUAGUAGGGGUAGAGGGAAUUUCCAGUGGAGCGGUGAAAUGCGUAGAUAUUGGAAAGAACACCGAUGGCGAAGGCACUCUACUGGGCUAUUACUGACACUCAGAGACGAAAGCUAGGGGAGCAAAUGGG
rnacentral:rRNA from 1 species